rnacentral:rRNA from 1 species
AGAUUAAACAUAAGAGUUUGAUCCUGGCUCAGAUUGAACGCUGGCGGCAUGCUUUACACAUGCAAGUCGAACGGCAGCACGGAGAGCUUGCUCUCUGGUGGCGAGUGGCGAACGGGUGAGUAAUGCAUCGGAACGUACCGAGUAAUGGGGGAUAACUGUCCGAAAGGAUGGCUAAUACCGCAUACGCCCUGAGGGGGAAAGCGGGGGAUCUUAAGACCUCGCGUUAUUUGAGCGGCCGAUGUUGGAUUAGCUAGUUGGUGGGGUAAAGGCCUACCAAGGCGACGAUCCAUAGCGGGUCUGAGAGGAUGAUCCGCCACAUUGGGACUGAGACACGGCCCAAACUCCUACGGGAGGCAGCAGUGGGGAAUUUUGGACAAUGGGGGGAACCCUGAUCCAGCCAUGCCGCGUGUCUGAAGAAGGCCUUCGGGUUGUAAAGGACUUUUGUUAGGGAAGAAAAGCUUGGUGCUAAUACCACCUAGUGCUGACGGUACCUAA